AAGUGGGAGAACUUGCACAAUUGGUGGCUGACUAAAUACUUUUUUUCCCCACUGUAUAUACACACACUGCUGAGGAACGCCUACAGAGAGGUCUACAAGACCAUCACUACGCACACACAUAUAUAUAUACACACACACACACACACACACACACACACACACACUGCUGAGGAACGCCUAAAGAGAGGUGUACAAGGCCUUGAUUAAAUCCCUGGGCUGACUGCGCUGAGUAUCCAGCAUACCCUCUUCUAUGUUGGGAUUCAAUCCACUCGCUUUUGUAGACAAUGUGGCUUUUAAAGCCAAUGUUACCGUGUUCGUCAAGCAUGCUAUAGCGCAGUUUCAGAUUGAAUCCAGGCUUUAGUCUCUGAUGUCGACAAAUACUGCCUCUGCUUCUGCUCUGUGGGGUCUAGGUCGGGUUACUGUAAAAGCACUGUGGGGUCUAGGUCGGGUUACUGUAAAAGCACUGUGGGGUCUAGGUCGGGUUACUGUAAAAGCACUGUGGGGUCUAGGUCGGGUUACUGUAAAAGCACUGUGGGGUCUAGGUCGGGUUACUGUAAAAGCACUGUGGGGUCUAGGUCGGGUUACUGUAAAAGCACUGUGGGGUCUAGGUCGGGUUACUGUAAAAGCAGUGUGAGGUCUAGGUCGGGUUACUGUAAAAGCACUGUGGGGUCUAGGUCGGGUUACUGUAAAAGCGCUUUGUGACAACUGCUGAUGUAAAAUGGGAUUUAUAAAUAAUAUUGAUUGAUUUGUUACUAUGCACAGCUAACAAAAUAUAUGUAGCUUUGUAACCUUUCAGAAAUUAUAUAAGCUUUAUUUAGCCAUUAAAGGGUUUAUGAAGAGAAAA